GGCGCCAAAUUAGUAUAGUGGUAAGUAUUCCCGCCUGUCACACGGGUGACCCGGGUUCGAUCCUCGGCAGCGGCGCCA
rnacentral:tRNA from 1 species